GUCUAGUAUAAGCAAUUAUACCGUGAAACUGCGAAUGGCUCAUUAAAUCAGUUAUCGUUUAUUUGAUAGUACCUUACUACUUGGAUAACCGUGGUAAUUCUAGAGCUAAUACAUGCUGAAAACCCCAACUUCGGGAGGGGUGUAUUUAUUAGAUAAAAAACCAACGCCCUUCGGGGCUUCUUGGUGAUUCAUGAUAACUUUACGGAUCGCAUGGCCUUGCGCCGGCGACGGUUCAUUCAAAUUUCUGCCCUAUCAACUUUCGAUGGUAAGGUAUUGGCUUACCAUGGUUUCAACGGGUAACGGGGAAUUAGGGUUCGAUUCCGGAGAGGGAGCCUGAGAAACGGCUACCACAUCCAAGGAAGGCAGCAGGCGCGCAAAUUACCCAAUCCCGACACGGGGAGGUAGUGACAAUAAAUACUGAUACAGGGCUCUUUUGGGUCUUGUAAUUGGAAUGAGUACAAUUUAAACCUCUUAACGAGGAACAAUUGGAGGGCAAGUCUGGUGCCAGCAGCCGCGGUAAUUCCAGCUCCAAUAGCGUAUAUUAAAGUUGUUGCAGUUAAAAAGCUCGUAGUUGAACCUUGGGUCUGGCUGGCAGGUCCGCCUCACCGCGUGUACUUGUCCGGCCGGGCCUUCCUUCUGGAGAACCUCAUGCCCUUCACUGGGCGUGUUGGGGACCAGGACUUUUACUUUGAAAAAAUUAGAGUGUUCAAAGCAGGCCUUUGCUCGAAUACGUUAGCAUGGAAUAAUAGAAUAGGACGUGCGGUCCUAUUUUGUUGGUUUCUAGGACCGCCGUAAUGAUUAAUAGGGACAGUCGGGGGCAUCAGUAUUCAAUUGUCAGAGGUGAAAUUCUUGGAUUUAUUGAAGACUAACUACUGCGAAAGCAUUUGCCAAGGAUGUUUUCAUUAAUCA
rnacentral:rRNA from 1 species